GUGCUCACUUCAGCAGCACACAUACUAAAAUUGGAAUGAUACAGAGAAGAUUAGCAGGGCCCCUAAGCAAGGAUGACACACAAAUUCAUGGAGUGUUCCAUAUUUUU
ensembl:snRNA U6 U6 spliceosomal RNA